rnacentral:lncRNA from 1 species
GGCAGGGGAAACAGGGUGCGGAGAAAUCUUUGAACAUCUGUAAGAGAAAAUAACUCAUAAGACUGUAGAUUUAAAUGGAAUCAUCUUUGUAUUCUUACAGCAAAGCAGAGUAAACUGUGGCUCCCGUUGACUGGGUAUUUCAAAACAGCCAGCAGAGGGCUGGGGGUGCUGGGUAGUGGAGUGCUUGCCUAGCAUGGCUGAAGCCUGAGCCAAGAGGAUCUGGGGUAGUUCCAACCUAAAAAAACGGUAAAGGUAUGAACUAAGGAAUAAGGCAGUUGUCCUGAUCUGUGCUGUAUAGACAAACUGAAAUGAUGAAAUGCCAUAGUGUACUUUACCAAGCCUAAUGGUCUGAGUUCAAUCCUGAACUCACUUGAUGAAAGGGGUGAACUGACUCUUGGAAAGUUGUGAUCUCUACAGGUGCUCACCCAUACCCAACUCCCACCCAUGGCACUCACACGUGCACACGAAUAAGUAAGUUAAAUAAAUAAAUGUAAAUUAAAAAAAAUAAGGGCUGGGGAUCUAACUCAGGGUUAGAACAGUGUUCUAGCAUACAUGAAGCCCUGGGCCUCGGCACUGCGUUAAACAAACAAACAAACAAACAAACAAAUAAAUAAAUGUAGCUGCAUCAGUAGUUACAUUAAAUUUUUGGUGAGUGAUAGGCUUAAUAACUAGGAUGUAGUUUUGAUAAAACACAAUAAACCAGUGAGAGGAAAACCACCCAACAUAACAGGCAAAGGAUAUGAAGAAAACUUCACAGGGUGAGAAAUCUGUUAGUGCUGUAAAUAUAAAAAGACAAUUUCUUUAAUGAGGGCAACAUAAAGACAAAUGUAAAUGAUAAUGAGGAGUUGCAUUUCUCAUUCAAGUUUUUGACAAAUUUUCCAAGUCACUUAUCAGUAGACGUUGGCUAAGACAUGAAAACACUAAGUCAUGCUUUGGGUGGUGGGGUAAGUGGGCUCCUCUCUAGUGAGCAGUUUGAAGCCUGGGAGAGUUGAAGGUACUCCUGCCACCCACUACUCCUUUGCCGGUGAACAGCACAAUGAGCCGCUGUGCCUGUGAUGUGUGUGUGGCGGCAUCCUGGCAGCAGGUUUGUUUUCAUUUCCCCCAAAGGAUAAUGAAAUACUAUAUAUCGGUCAAAAUGAAUAGACCAAAUAAAUAGACUCGUUUAUACAUGCUGUAUCUCAAAGUAACAAUGAUCCGCCAUGAAAACUAAACGCUGAAAGAGGAUGUGGGCUGGCUGAAUAAAUAACAUUUAUGUAAAAUUUCAAGAAUACUGAAUCCAGUAGUGUGCAUACAUGAUAAGCAAUGUGGAUGCAUACAUGAUAAGCAAUUCACAGACAUACUGGAGAGCUGGUGAGGAGGCAGAAUGAGAUGUCCCUAGCCUGGUCUUCAUUUUAUCGAGGGCUGCGUAUUAUCCCGGUUGCCUUCUAAGACCCGUUCCAACCCAGACAUCCCCAGGGUUCCAUAAAGUGAAAAAAUUAUUCUGCCUUUUCCUCUCUGUUCCAGUUGGGGUGCAUCCUAACUGUAACCAGGGCACCUGCUCAGACUCUUUUUUUUUUUCUUCUUCUUCUGUUUUCUGUUUUCAUUCCGUUCCAAGAUCUCGCUAGCUCCUCGGCAUUCAAUAAGCACGGGUUCCAACGAACCUGUCCAAGAAAGAGGGUCAUCUCUCGAGGUUGGAAAGAGCCCUGUGAACACGGGGGGCCAAACAGCAACUUGGGGUCAACAAGCCUCUUGCCGCUCGGCCUCAGUUUCCUCCGAAGCAGCCCGUCCGGCCCCCUCCAGCCCGUGCCCUCCAGGAUUCCGGGAAUUCUGUCCUUUCUGGCCGAAAACAACACUGAGGCUUUUCACAAAGCACUCCCACCCCCACCCCUCGCUCCCCUUAGCUCCACAGCCCGCGUCCCUGGAACCCGGGCUGCACCGCGCUGGUCACAUGAACUCCGGCUUUCUCUGGUGUGACGGCUCCCACCGAUCCCUUUGUGAGCGCAGGUUUUGAAAGCCAACGACCGGGUUCUGGGUUUGAGACGCGCAGGCGGCCGCGGGCGGAAGGCUGUCGGAGCCCAUCGGCCCGCCUCCAGAGCCGGCGCGCCGCGCGAGCCGCGCGCCCGGGAUUCCGCUCCGCCGCCCGCCCGCCGCGGCCUGGCCCGAGGGCGCCGGGCCGCCAGGACGCCAGAUGGAGCUGUCUGGGUUCCGGCCGCCUCCGACGAGCCUCCGGGCGCUCCUCUUGAAACGCCUGAGAGGGACAUGCCUCCCAGGAUGCAGUUUGCAGCAACAUGGCAGCUGCGGUGCAGCUCCCCUGCUGAAGAGGCGCCGGGACGGCCGCGCAGCUCGCAGCCGGGGUCCGGGCCGCAGCCGGGGGUCGCAGCGUCG